GGCCCGCACAAGCGGUGGAGCAUGUGGUUUAAUUCGAUCAUACGCGAGGAACCUUACCAGGGCUUAAAUGUGGUCUGACAGCUUUAGAGAUAGAGUUUUCUUCGGACAGAUCACAAGGUGCUGCAUGGUUGUCGUCAGCUCGUGCCGUGAGGUGUCAGGUUAAGUCCUAUAACGAGCGCAACCCCUGUGGUUAGUUGCCAGCGAGUCAUGUCGGGAACUCUAGCCAGACUGCCAGUGCAAACUGUGAGGAAGGUGGGGAUGACGUCAAAUC
rnacentral:rRNA from 1 species